rfam:Oryza glumipatula chromosome 11, whole genome shotgun sequence.
AAUAAGAGCAGCCAUAAAUUUCCGUGCCAACUUUAAUCGUCUGUCUUAUUUGAAAUUAUUUUUAUGAUUAGUAUUUUUAUUGUUAUUAGAUUAAACAUGAAUAAUACUUUAUACAUGACUUAUGUUUUUUUAGUUUUUCUCAAAAACAAAUAAAUAAAACGGACAAUCAAAGUUGAACGAGAAAACUCAUGAGUGCGCUUAUU